rnacentral:rRNA from 1 species
UACGGGAGGCAGCAGUGGGGAAUAUUGCACAAUGGGCGCAAGCCUGAUGCAGCCAUGCCGCGUGUAUGAAGAAGGCCUUCGGGUUGUAAAGUACUUUCAGUCGUGAGGAAGGUGUUAAGGUUAAUAACCUUAGCAAUUGACGUUAGCGACAGAAGAAGCACCGGCUAACUCCGUGCCAGCAGCCGCGGUAAUACGGAGGGUGCGAGCGUUAAUCGGAAUUACUGGGCGUAAAGGGCACGCAGGCGGUUAAUUAAGUUGGAUGUGAAAUCCCCGGGCUUAACCUGGGAAUGGCAUUCAAGACUGGUUAGCUAGAGUCUUGUAGAGGGGGUAGAAUUCCAUGUGUAGCGGUGAAAUGCGUAGAGAUGUGGAGGAAUACCGGUGGCGAAGGCGGCCCCUGGGACAAAGACUGACGCUCAUGUGCGAAAGCGUGGGGAGCAAAACAGGAUUAGAUACC